rnacentral:rRNA from 1 species
AAAUUGAAGAGUUUGAUCAUGGCUCAGAUUGAACGCUGGCGGCAGGCCUAACACAUGCAAGUCGAACGGUAACAGGAAGCAGCUUGCUGCUUCGCUGACGAGUGGCGGACGGGUGAGUAAUGUCUGGGAAACUGCCUGAUGGAGGGGGAUAACUACUGGAAACGGUAGCUAAUACCGCAUAACGUCGCAAGACCAAAGAGGGGGACCUUCGGGCCUCUUGCCAUCGGAUGUGCCCAGAUGGGAUUAGCUAGUAGGUGGGGUAACGGCUCACCUAGGCGACGAUCCCUAGCUGGUCUGAGAGGAUGACCAGCCACACUGGAACUGAGACACGGU